rnacentral:tRNA from 1 species
ACCCAACUGGCUCAGUCGGUAGAGCGUGGGGCUCCUGAACUCAGGUCAUGAGUUCAAGCCCCAUGUUGGGUG